CCCAUAGAAUUCGUCCACCUUAUAAUAAAAAGCAAUCCAUGGCCCAAAUUGCAAUUAUCUUAUAAUUACAAUUCCAGUCCCUUAAGUUUAAUUAAUCUCUUUUAGUCACAAAACUAAUUACCAAUUAAUUAUUGACUAAUAUUAAUUAAACAAUAUGAUUUCUCCUUUAAUAUAUUAUUCUCAUAAUAUAUUAAUAAAUCAUAUUUAAUCCUUUCUCUCCAUAAUUCAUCCUAUCAAGUUGCUUUGGUGAAGGCAACCCAAAAGGACCAUGCACCAUCGGGUCAAGUACAUACCAAAAUAGUUAUGGACUUAGACACUAAUCCAACAGUCUCCCACUUGGAUAAGUCUAAUAACUAUUAUGCGUAUGACUUCAGAUCCUGAUCUGCAAUCGUAGCUUUCCAAAGCCGCUGUCAACUCUGAUCAUAUCAGAUACGCGUGUCCUUAGAUAAGGGAUCAUAUAUUCCUCCAUUCUAGAUAUCAUAUGAGAUAUGAUUUCAAAUCAUUCUCUUUGUACUAUAUCUCGAUUCCCGAUUUAUGACGACUGACUAAUUGAACAAAUCAAAUUAGCCCUAGCCCGGCCGAGCAUUUACGUUUGUCAUCACUAAAUCAUCGAGGGGCCCAAAGAUAUCGCUUUUAUCCUACUUUGGAUAAAAGGAACGGAUAAACUUUGAUACAAUGCUUGCUUGCACUCACUCACCGAAUCACACACAACAAUAUGUUUUAUAACACCAAGUUACUAGUGCGUUUACAUAUUAUCAAUGUGCAACCGAUUUGCAAGAUACAACUCACACAUCUCGGUUUCAAGAAUAUAAGAUGUUAUCGUCUCACCAAUCACUCGUGAUACAAUUCAUGGAGUGAUCCAAGUGAGCGUGGGUUUAAUCCAAUGCUCAAAUCAUAUUCAUAAGCACUCAUGAACGUUGCAGCAAACAUUUGCUUAUGUCUAAUACUCUUUAGACAAUCCACACACCAAUUCACGACAGUCUUCAUUCAUACCUACUUCCAACAUAUGAACGACUGUGGCCCGUUCGAAUAAUUCGACUGUUCUUAACCAAUUAAAUUAUUCAGGAAGUCAAAACAUGCAAAGUGAAACACAAGAAUAAUACUAAUCCCAUAUGGCCUCAAACCUUUGAGUAUAAAUAAAACACCUUUUAUUUAUCACCAUAUCGAUUACUCAUUAUUUGUCGUUUCGGGUAAUCAACUUCUUACUUGAAUUAUUACACUUGUCCCAUGCUCCUAGCAUGCACACAAUGUUUACCUAUGGUUCUUACUUUGUGAAAUAGAUCAAAUUGAACACAUUUCCAAUCAUUCUCAUUUCACAACUCCAAAUCCUUUUUCAUAAGUGAAAGAAUAUCAAAUUCUUGCUACUUAUAGAAUAUGCUAGAUUCUAACAUUUUAUGCAAUGAUCCUUUCGUAAUGUCACUGCACCAAAGUCACAAAGACUAUUGCCAAUGAUAUUACAAAGUCCUCUAUCGGAGAUUGUUACAAGACAAUUCCUUAGAUAUGAUGUCUCUCACUCAAAGUACAUUCCUUUGAACAUCCUUUUGCAUAAAAGUUUCUAAUCUAGACAUAGAUUUUCAAUAUUCAAUUCCCAAUAUGGACACGUUUCCAUAUUUUCCAUAUGACAACUCAUUCUUAAUAGAAUCUUAUCUAUUCAUAAUAAUGUCGAUAUGGUCCAUCCAAUAUGGAAACAUUUCCAUAUUUUCCAAUACUAUACUUCCAACUACUCACAAGCGACCAAUCCUCGUCGAACUUUGGAUUGUCCUUUGAUAGUUGUUUAAUUAUUUUAGUCAAAACCGAUUCUAGUCCUUUUUCCCUCUAAAUGCGCUAGACAUUUGGAAAAUUUUAGAAUGGUCAAACAUUAAAGCAUUUGCAAUCGAUCCUAUACCCGAAGCGUAUGGGACACGACGCAUAAUGUUUUAUUUGCUAUGUUCUCAAAAUUCGAAUUGUGAAGAGGAAUGCCGUAAUCAUAAUCGAAAUUUUAAGAACACACUAUGUACCUUUGACUAAAUUUAUUAACAUUUCUCAACCUAAUCCUUUAGAUUUGAAAUGAAGCAUAAUAUUCUCUCCCUUAAUUAUAGCAAAACAACUUUUCAACCCUUACGACUUUGCAAGGUAUAACUCUUGUUUUCUAUAAUUAAUAUUGCCAACUUGCAAUACGUGCCUUAAUAAUCAUACAAUCAUAACAUUUAUGCUCCCACUAUCAUGAUGAUUAUUAUAAAACAUAACACUUAUGCUCCCACUAGCUUCGACAUGUAUUCAUAAACAUCUUAACUUUCAGAAAAACAAUGCCUAUUGAAUUUCUUAAGUUCAUGUUUCUAAUACUUAGUGCUUUGAUAAUCUUUUAUCAAGGCUUCUUGAACUUAUACACCUUUGCCUUCGAUAGUUCAUAUGUGUGUCUAAACAAUUAAGACUAAUUGCCAAACCUCACAAUUCAAAUUAUGGAAAGGGAUGCCGUAACCAUAAUUGAAUUCGAGAAUGCAAUUUUACAAUCACUAUCUUCUUAAAAUCUUUCUUAGUGAAAGCAUUUCCUCACAAUCAUUUUCAUGAAGGAGGAAAUCUUAUGACACUUAGAUUUAAACGGUGUAUGUGUUCCUAUCCAUGUGAAUUUGUUAAAACCAAAGUUUACGACAAAUUCAAACUCAUAUGGACCGAACUUUCUUAAUCUUGAUUUCUUGCCUUAUGGUAGCACAGCUGCCCACCAUGUCUUCCAAGUAGUUAAGCAGCUCACCUUUUCCUAUCAAUGUACCUUUCAUUGAUUAAGGUGCUUUGCCUUUUAUGCGUUCAAAAUGAGAACUCAUAGAACUCACAUGCAUAAUUAACUCGAUUGGAUUGGCACAGAAUCAAAAUAAUGUCAACACGAUAGGUUGUAAACCUCAACUCGUGUGCUAGUGAUGAUCGAUAAGGUUUAUUUGAUUUGUUCUUGAAACCUUUCAAGACCAUUAAGACUCCCACUGACUCCUUGACAUAUAAGAUUCUCUUGUCAAUAACCAUUUCUUGACAAACAAAUAUUCAAGAGUUAGUGUAGCUUUUAUCAAAACACUUCAUAAAUUGGUCCUAGUUGGUCUUUGUCUUAUCCAAGACAUCACAACUUUCCACAUUUGAUGAAAGUUAUAAACCUUCUUAAUACCUUUCACUCAAUGUCACAAUCUUAACUUUAAGACUUGUUAUUGGAACGAAGUAUGAUUGACUUAUUGAUUUAACCAUUUCUUCAAUUCUUGAUUCCUCUUCUUAGACAUACAAUUGUACUAAGACUCACUUAGAGGAUCAAUUGAGAUAUGGUUCUUAAUCAUUAAGACCUAUCAUAAAGCAUAAAAGGUACUCUCCCUUCUUCUUAGAAUGGAGAAACUUUUAUCUUUCUGCCUACUUGAUUCUUCUUAUUCGUUCUGCUAUUGAUUUAAACCUUUUCAAUCAAUUCAGAAUUACACUUAAUCUUAUAAGUAUAAUCAUAUUUACUAAACCUUUAGUAAAUCAUGACGAAUAUCUUUGUUACUCUUAUGGUGGACUUGAUCAACACGCAACUUUGUGUACUCGAUCUCCUAGUCCUUCACUUGACACUUUGUCAAUGAAUUAGUCUAAUUUCCAAAUAUGAAAUUUCUCAUUCAUCGUGCAACCAAGUUGCAUGAUUCCAAGUUUCUGUCCAAUUGAAACUUGGGCGAUGAGAAACUCUCCCUAUUUGGUAAAUUCUCGACUUUCCAUAAAUAACAUAAUAAGAACCAAAUCCAUUAUUGCUAAUAAUAGAAACAUUUUAACAUCAAUUUUUCAUACACGCCAUUGUAAGGAUAAAUAAAUAAAAUUUAAAAUCAAAAUUUAUUUUAUUGCGGAAAAAAUUUUCCUUACAAUGCAAUUCAUUGAAAAACUUAUGCUAAUACAUCUUUCUUAGCAAUCUAAUUCUAACUCUAAGUAGUAGCUCAAGAAUCUAAUCUUCGAGAAAUGCGAUCGAAAUCCAUUCCUUCACGGUUAGAUUCUGCUCACUUCUUCCCUUAAGCUUCCUUUCUUUUCUUCGAUCCUACAAAACAUCAAUUGUAAUCUUAUCACAUUAUGUAUUAAGAAUCUAGAAUAGAAGCUUAAAAGAGUUAGUUAAUGGAUUUUACCUAUAUUAGAGCCAUACGUUUCGACUCUCCCAUCUCUUAGAUCUCUUAGGUAAAUGGGGCAGCUUCGUCUCCAAUGCCCUUUCUCUUGGCAAUAAAAGCAAAUUGACUCUUUUGGAACAUGACAUGGAACUACUUCAGACAUUGCCUUUCUCUUAUGAUCAAACUUUUCGAUCAUAGCAUGUCUUUCGUUGCCAUUGUCUAUAUCCAUAGAGGUCUUGAAGGCAGAUUCACCAAUCAACUUUGCUUUUCUAUUGCGCCAAACCAUUGCUGAUUCAGCAGCAAUAAGCAUAUAGGUGAGAUCUAUAAGGGUCACGUCGCGGUUCAUCAUAUAGUACUCUCUUACGAACUCACUAUAUGAGUUAGGAAGUGACUGAAGAACCCAAUCAACAGCCAUUUCCUCACAGACAACGGAUCCCAACAUUCUUAACCUAUCAAUGUGUGACUUCAUCCCUAGGACGUGUGCACACACCGACUUUCCUUCUUUAUGUUUACUUGCCAAAAGGGCUUGAGUGAUCUUGAACUUUUCAAGCCUUUGAACUUGUGGGUUAGGGAGAAUAAUUGGAGGAGGUGGAGGAAGUGAAGCAUGAUUUCUUGUUCCUCGAUCGAAUCGUGGAAUAUCAUCUUCAUGUGGAAUGCUUGUUCCACGGGAUUUGGGAAGACCAUAGUUGUCGAACUUUGACAUCUACAAAACGGGAGAAAACGAAUUCAAGUUAGUUGAUUGAUUGAGUCCUUAGUAAAUCACCCAAAUGAGAUACUAAGGCUAGGACCCAACACAAUAUUCUACAACUCGGGAGAGGGAUGCCGUAACCCAAAUUGCAGAACAUUUGAAGGUAAGUGAAUGACGAUUCACUAAUUUCCACCAUGAAAAACGAAAAAGAAAUUUAAGUUUUAAAUCUAUGAAAACUCCUAGAUUUGAUGAGAUUCAUUGAACAUUUCAAUGGCAUGUUUAAAUCUCGAUAUGCCCCUCUUGUUUGUGACUGGGAUGCCGAGGAUCACAAAGCGGGUGUGAAUAACCAUGCAAACUUACAUGGUGCCCUCACAUGUUACAGUCACCUAUUCGAUGUGCCGGUAAACCACACACGCUCCACCGAACUAUGACAAACAUUGAGUCACCCUUUGCUACCUUUGCUUAGAACCAUUUAGUGUGCCGGUAAACCACACACGCUCCACUAACGUCUUCGCAAGGGCACAAAGUGUAAUUUCAUGGAAUUGCAUCAAUUCACUUUUGCCUAAGUAACUAAGAUUGGGAAUUUUAUGAAAACAUUUAGUUACUUUAAUAAUUCAUUAUACUUAUAAUGGAAGGUUUCGUCCUAUCCUACCCGUUCGGCUAACGACCCUCCACUAGUCAAGAGUGCGGUGGGUAAGAGUGGAUACCCAUUCAAUCGCCAUUUUAUAGGCAAUUUCCUUAAACACCCCUUAUAGACCAGCUUCGUGAAUGAGGCCUACUAACGGUAAGACUGACUUUUACUCAUACAUAUAUAUAAUGUUAGACUUUUAAUGUUAUAUAUAGUAUAGGGUGUAUUUUACACUUUUAAAAUACUAGGUGGUCAAAUUUAACAAUUAUACUUUUAAUUCAAUUAAAUUGUAAACCAAAACUUUUAUGGAUUUAUUAAACCUCUUUUAAUUAUACACCUUAAUUAAUUAAUAAAACCAUAAGGGUGUGAUUUGAACUUUUUCAAAACAAUACUAGGGUUUUAGAAUUUAACAUUCCUAAUUAAACUUUUAAUCAACUUUUAAAUUCCAAAACUUGAGGGCAAGUUUUGAAACAUUUCAAAACAUUAGGGUUUAGAAUUUAAAUAUACAUCAAAAUUAAACUAUUAAUCAAAAUUUAAAUUCCAAAACUUGAGGGCAAGUUUUGAAACCUUUUUCAAAACAUUAGGGUUUUAACUAUUUAAAUUUCAAAACAACAAAACUUUUGGGUUCAAAUUUAAACUAUAAAACCUAAAGGGGAAAAUAUGAAACUUUUCAUAACACAAGGAUCAAAUAACAAAUAAUCUAAAUUAACAUUUAAUCACAUAAUUAUCCAUAUUUGAUUUAUUUAAUGAUUUCUUGCAAAACAAUUUACCAAUUUAAUCAAAAUAAUUAAUCAAUUAUCACAUAAGGAAACAAAUAUUUUAUUAAUUGAUAAAUAUCUUCAAUUAGAUCAAGAAUAUAGUCAAAUAUAUCAUAAAAUCGGAUUUAUAUUGAUCUAAUAUGAUAAGGCAACUAUCCUUAAGCAAAAACAGCAAGAAAUCCCGGUUUUCCCUCUCACUGACCAGCCGACUCGUCGAGUCAGGCAUGGACUCGUCGAGUUCAGCAUGAACUCGGCGAGUUCAUCUAAAAAACUCGACGAGUUCUGACCCCAGAAGCACAAAAAUCGAAUUUUUUCAACAUACAAAGCAUCAAUACAAUAGAAACCAAUCUAGGCUCUGAUACCACUGAUGGGUUUUGGUCCUAAGAACAUCCUAUGUGCUCAUACAAACCCUAAUGCUUGGAUCUAGGUUUCUCUAUUGUACAUGCAAGUUAUCCAAGACUAUAAACCCUAAUUCUAGCAUACAAGUAAUCAUAUUAACAUAAGAAUAGGUUUAAGAUAUUACCUUGAUUGUUAUGUAGCAAUAACAAUCCCAAUUCCUCCUUGAAUUGACUUUGGAAGGCUUAGAGUCACAAGUGUCACUCCUCUAAUGGUUCACAAACACCAUAAGCAAGAGGAUGAAGAGGAGAGAGGAUGGAGGCUGCCCAAAACAUGUUCUAACCCUAGAAGAGAAGUUCCCCACGUUUUUGAGCCUUAAGGGUUCUAUAUAUAGUGAGGCUAUUAGGGUUAUCUAACAAGGAAACCCUAAUUUGGAUGCUUAAGCCCUAAGCAACCCAUGGAUCCCUUUCCUUAAGGCCUUGGACGAUUUCUUAUGGGUUUCCCCAUAGAAUUCGUCCACUCCUUAAUAUAAGGCAAUCCAUGGCCCAAAUUGCAAUUAUCUUAUAAUUACAAUUCCAGUCCCUUAAGUUUAAUUAAUCUCUUUUAGUCACAAAACUAAUUAUCAAUUAAUUAUUGACUAAUAUUAAUUAAACAAUAUGAUUUCUCCUUUAAUAUAUUAUUCCCAUAAUAUAUUAAUAAAUCAUAUUUAAUCCUUUCUCUCCAUAAUUCAUUCUAUCAAGUUGCUUUGGUGAAGGCAACCCAAAAGGACCAUGCACCAUCGGGUCAAGUACAUACCAAAAUAGUUAUGGACUUAGACACUAAUCCAACACAACAUUCAUAGAAAUCCAAAACAGGUGGCUGAUUGAAAGCAUCAAAGAAAUCUGAGAUAUAAGAAGAAUCUCUCAGAAAGAAAACGAUUUUGGAAUUCCCAAAAUCCUGAUUUUGUAAGAAUAGAAAGAAAGAACAAAUCAGAAGAAGACUCAAGGAACCGAAAGGAGAGUUUCGGUCCUCAUUACAAC
rnacentral:lncRNA from 1 species